rnacentral:rRNA from 1 species
UACGUAGGGUGCAAGCGUUGUCCGGAAUUAUUGGGCGUGAAGAGCUCGUAGGCGGUCUGUUGCGUCGGCUGUGAAAACCCGGGGCUCAACCCCGGGCCUGCAGCCGAUACGGGCAGACUAGAGUUCGGCAGGGGAGACUGGAAUUCCUGGUGUAGCGGUGAAAUGCGCAGAUAUCAGGAGGAACACCGGUGGCGAAGGCGGGUCUCUGGGCCGAUACUGACGCUGAGGAGCGAAAGCGUGGGGAGCGAACAGG